rnacentral:rRNA from 1 species
UACGGAGGGUGCAAGCGUUAUCCGGAUUCACUGGGUUUAAAGGGAGCGCAGGCGGACUGGUAAGUCAGUGGUGAAAGCCCUGGGCUCAACCCGGGAACUGCCAUUGAUACUAUCAGUCUUGAAUAUCGUUGAGGUUUGCGGAAUGGGUCAUGUAGCGGUGAAAUGCGUAGAGAUCAUGAGGAAGACCAGUGGCGAAGGCGGGUCUCUGGACAGUUCCUGACACUGAGGCACGAAGGCCAGGGGAGCAAACGGG